CCUGUAUUCCUUUUGCCUUUCCAAGGCGGCGGACAUCAACAAACAAUAUGCCGCCGUAUUAACCACGGUGGUCAGAGAGGCCGGCAUGGCUCUGGGGCCGGACAGCGACACGCCGGACUGGCGCCACAUUGUGGCCGACCCCGAGAAGGUGGUGAAGGACAUGGACGUCAUACGGGAGACGUUUUACACCAAGGUCCCCACCGCCCAUCUACGCGCCGCAGCACUGAGUUCUUGGCUGCGCUAUUGUUCCGGCGCAACGCUGGAGCACGCCGAGUGUCUUGAUCGCCCAACGAUUUCAGGCGACAAGGGACCUUGUGCAGCACACCAUAAAGGCGCACAAACGAAGCCGAUGUGGGGCGAGAGGAGAGAUCCGAUGACGAUGACGCCCCGGACGCCAUCAACCCCACGCGACGCCAGCUGCUCAACGUCCCCUCAACGUCCCGAACGCGGCGCCAGCUGAGGACGACGGCCGGCCGAUACCACGGCCACCACGGCCGACAAAGGUCGUGGUGGAGGGCCGAGGAGCUGGCGGUGGUCGCCGACUUCGCGGCGAACCCCUCCAAAAGGUUCCGCGACAUCGGGGAGCUGGCGGCGGCCCUGCCAGGACGCUCAUCAGGAGCAGCUUGGCUCAAAGUGAGCGAACUGAGGAACAAAAUGGGGCCAGUGUGAUGGCCGCCACCAUCAAAGCCGCCAUCGUCGCCGUCCCGGUCGUUUUGUACCUCACUGAGCCGCACGGGAAGUGUGAGAGACUGGGUGAGAGCGAGUGGGAGUGAGCGCGUGCUGCGCCGGCGGUGCGCGGGCGUCGUGACCUCCGAGUUUCUGUGGGCCGCGCCGGCGACUCGAGCUGUUCAUUCUUGUGUUUGUGAUAUGUUGUAGAGUGUGUGGUGGCGAUUUCGUGUCGCUAAGCUCGGCGAGCCGGGCGUCAGCGGUAGUUUUGUCUGCAUGUCUUGUGUUUGUCGGCGGUAAUUUUGAACCGCGGGCCCGCAGAGCUGGCGGGCAGGCGGGACAGUGAGCGACGAACGGACGGUCUGAACGGCGCAGCACGGACGCUGGGAUCUGCGACGUGUGGUCUUAGAGCGUAACGGUGGAUGUGUCAGUGUGAGUGCGUCCCCUGCACCGCGCCGGGGCGGUUCCAGCGCCACUCCGUGCUUGGCGUCGCAAGGCUCAGCGAGCCGGCCGCAGUGCACUCUUAGAGCUGUUUACGAGCCGCAGGGAGCAUAGCCCGGGCCACAUGCCACAAGGACCUAGG